UCGAGACGUGCCUGUUUGUGAUUUGGCGCCACCUAGAGUUCUACUUGCUCUACUGCACUCCCACGGACCCCAAAGACUCGCUUCUGCCAGGUUACAGAGAUCCUAGUGCCAGCAGAGGUUUGAGUGUGUCAAGAGUGAGCCAGCAAGAUAUUGAACAGUUACAGAGUGAUGUAGCGAACAGCUUCAGUGAGCCGCUCCAGAGGAAGUUGCUGGAGGUCGAGGGUCUGUAUAGUAAAACCCGUUCCCGUCACACCUUCAUCCAAGCCCUGACGCGCAGGAUCCGGGGCCUAGUGCAUCAUGCCAAAGGCUGAACCGUCACAAAUAGUGCGGAACAUUAUUCUUUUCAAUUAGGUGUCAAACAAGUGCUUUUUACAGUUUUGAUUACUAUCAUCACAUUAAAUUGUCUUGCUAUGAAGAUAUCUAUUGGAUUUCUGCUUUUUUCUAAUGUGGUAAAUAAAUGGUUUUCUAAACAGA